AGGAGCCGUGUGGGGUGAAAGUCUCAAGCACGGUUUUGAAGACGAGUCGAUGAGGCGACUCAUCGGCUUAGUUUAAU
rnacentral:ncRNA from 1 species